GGGGUGGGGAGGGGGCGGCGGCCUGAACUCCGCGGCCAGACUGGCUCCAAGGGGGCCUGAACCAGCGAGGGCUCGAACGGCCGACUCCGCCCUCGCCGCAGUCUCGGAAGAAGGUAUUUCCACUUCCUGGAGCUCUCCUGCUGUCCUGGAUCUUAAUCCAGCCACCUUGGCUUCGCCAGAUUCAUGGGAGCCAGUGGAUUUCCUGACACUCAAGUGGGAGACCUCGCCCGGCUCAUAUCCAACCCAUCAGCAAGCGCGGUACUCAUCAGAUCCUUUUCUCAGCAAGUCCUGUAGACUUGAACUCCAGAAUAUUUCCUCACCUGGCUGCUGACUACCUUCUGCGCUACUGCCACUCUGGUCCGAGCCCCUCCCAGGGCUUGGAUUAGUUUCCAUGAUGCCACCCUUGCAUCACCGGGGUCAGUUCACAUAGCAGCAAGAGGGACGUUUUAAAAAACUUAAACUAAAUGAUAUUGCCAUCUUGGUUAAAACCCACCAGAAGCUGCCAUUUACAACAGAAAUUCCUUCCCAAGCGGUACGUGGUCUGGCUUCUACCUGCCUUUUCAACAUCUCUUGUGACUCUGGUUCAUGAUACUCCAGCCCCACUGGUCUAUAUUCUGUCUUUCGAACACUGAGACGGCUGCUGCCCCGGGGACUUGGCAUUUGCUGUGCCCUCUGCCCCAAAUGCUCUUCCCCCAGCUAUCCCCAUCUUUUAUUUCUUCACUUUUGUUUCUCUUUCUUUUCAUUUGGGAAGGAACAAAAAAAGAGAAUCAGUGAUGGCUGGUCUAGGAUGGCUUGUGACAUCCUUCGAUGGUGUGGACAGUGGCUUCACUCAGAUGUCUUUCUUGAAAUCUCCCCUGAUAUUUCUAUCUGAAAGAAAUCUCAGCAUGAAGACAAUGCAUGUUGGAAUUGGUAAUUGUCGCAGUGGUUGCAGGAGGAGGUGAGAUUUGAGCUGGACCUUGACAGUGGGUACUGUUUCAGUAAGCAGACUUGGGGUAACCUCCAUGCAGGGACAGGCUGUACCCACCUUGUUCUGCUGGGUCUCCAGUGCUUCUUAGAGGACCAAGCAGAAAAUAGAUACUCAGUAUAUGUUCUUGAAUGGACCAAUAAACGAGCCAAGGAAACAGAGAGAAAAUGCUAAACAGGUCUGACGACAGAUAAUAACGUCUGUUUGGCUGGAAGAGCAAGUUCUAGUGGGAAACAAGGGCGGAAAAGCAGCGUUCAAACUGCAGAGGGCUUCAGCAACGAAUGUAAGUCUUCUGUCCAGCUGGUGUCUCUUGCCUGUUUUAGAGCGCCCCACCCCUCUAGUCUGGCUGGUGGACUGUCCCCAGAGGAGUCCUCCAGAGAGACAAGGUAGUACUGAGGGGCAGAGGAAUUGCUGAGAAGGAGACAGCUUGUGGCAGCGAGCCCCUCCUGUGGUGGGAAUCCUCAAGCUGCACUUCAAGUUGGUUCUGCCUGCACGAGAAUCUGUUGGUGGUUCUUGGCUGGGUGGG